rnacentral:rRNA from 1 species
AAUCAACGCUGGCGGCGUGCCUCAGACAUGCAAGUCGAACGAUUAAACUUUCCUUCGGGAAAGAUAUAAAGUGGCGCACGGGUGAGUAACACGUAAGUAAUCUACCUUCGAGUGGGGAAUAACGUCCGGAAACGGACGCUAAUACCGCAUAAUGCAGCGACACCUAAUGGUGACAGUUGUUAAAGAUUUAUCGCUUGAAGAGGAGCUUGCGGCAGAUUAGCUAGUUGGUAAGGUAAUGGCUUACCAAGGCUACGAUCUGUAACCGGUCUAAGAGGACGGUCGGUCACACUGACACUGAAUAACGGGUCAGACUCCUACGGGAGGCAGCAGUCGGGAAUUUUGGGCAAUGGGCGAAAGCCUGACCCAGCAACGCCGCGUGAAGGAUGAAGUAUUUCGGUAUGUAAACUUCGAAAGAAUGGGAAGAAUCAAUGACGGUACCAUUUAUAAGGUCCGGCUAACUACGUGCCAGCAGCCGCAGUAACAC